CCUACGGGAGGCAGCAGUGAGGAAUAUUGGUCAAUGGCCGGAAGGCUGAACCAGCCAUGCCGCGUGAAGGGCAGGGACCUAUGGGCGUUAAACUUCUUUUGUGCGGGAGCAAUAAUGGUCACGUGUGGCCAGACGAGAGUACCGUACGAAUAAGCAUCGGCUAACUCCGUGCCAGCAGCCGCGGUAAUACGGGGGAUGCAAGCGUUAUCCGGAUUUAUUGGGUUUGAAGGGUGCGUAGGCUGUGAGGUAAGUCAGCGGGGAAAUGCCCCCGCUCAACGGGGUGAAGUGCCAUUGAUACUGCCUUGCUGGAGUGCGUGUGUCGUGGGAGGAAUGUGUGGUGUAGCGGUGAAAUGCAUAGAUAUCACACAGAACACCGAUUGCGAAGGCAUCUCACGAAUCCGCGAUUGACGCUGAUGCACGAAAGCGUGGGUAUCAAACAGGAUUAGAUACCCCUGUAGUC
rnacentral:rRNA from 1 species